AGAGUUUGAUCCUGGCUCAGAACGAACGCUGGCGGCGUGGAUAAGACAUGCAAGUCGAGCGGGACAUUUCAGGUAGCAAUAUUUGAAAUGUCUAGCGGCGCAAGGGUGCGUAACACGUGGGUAAUUUGCCAUGAAGCUGGGGACAACUCCGGGAAACCGGAGCUAAUACCGAAUGUGAACAUUUUUGGGCAUCCAGAGAUGUUUAAAGCUGGGGACCGUAAGGCCUGGCACUUCAUGAUGAGCCCGCGGCCUAUCAGCUAGUUGGUGAGGUAACGGCUCACCAAGGCUAAGACGGGUAGCUGGUCUGAGAGGACGACCAGCCACACUGGAACUGAGACACGGUCCAGACACCUACGGGUGGCAGCAGUCGAGAAUUUUUCACAAUGGGCGCAAGCCUGAUGGAGCGACGCCGCGUGGGGGAUGAAGGGCUUCGGCUCGUAAACCCCUGUCAGUUGCGAACAAAGUUCACUCAAUAACACUGGGUGGAUUGAUAGUAGUGACAGAGGAAGGGACGGCUAACUCUGUGCCAGCAGCCGCGGUAAUACAGAGGUCCCGAGCGUUGUUCGGAUUCACUGGGCGUAAAGGGUGCGUAGGCGGUUCUGAAAGUCUGAUGUGAAAUCUCCAGGCCCAACCUGGAAACUGCAUUAGAAACUACAGGGCUAGAGGCUUGGAGGGGGAACUGGAAUUCUCGGUGUAGCAGUGAAAUGCGUAGAGAUCGAGAGGAAACACCUGUGGCGAACGCGAGUUCCUGGACAAGUCCUGACGCUGAGGCACGAAAGCCAGGGGAGCAAACAGGAUUAGAUACUCUGGUAGUCCUGGCUGUAAACGGUGCACGUUUGCUGUGAGAGGAAUCGACCCCUUUCGUGGCGGAGCUAACGCGAUAAACGUGCGCCUG
rnacentral:rRNA from 1 species